GGGCAAUUAGCUCAGUGGUAGAGCGUUCCGUUCACAUCGGAAAGGCCGCAGGUUCGAUACCUGCAUUGCCCA
rnacentral:tRNA from 1 species